AGGACGAACGCUGGCGGCGUGCUUAACACAUGCAAGUCGAGCGGAAAGGCCCUUCGGGGUACUCGAGCGGCGAACGGGUGAGUAACACGUGGGCAACCUGCCCUUAGCUCUGGGAUAGCUCCGGGAAACCGGAAUUAAUACCGGAUAUGACCUAGGCCGACAUCGGCCGUGGUGGAAAGUUUUUCGGCUAGGGAUGGACUCGCGGCCUAUCAGCUAGUUGGUGGGGUAAUGGCCUACCAAGGCGACGACGGGUAGCCGGCCUGAGAGGGCGACCGGCCACACUGGGACUGAGACACGGCCCAGACUCCUACGGGAGGCAGCAGUGGGGAAUCUUGCGCAAUGGGCGAAAGCCUGACGCAGCGACGCCGCGUGGGGGAUGAAGGCCUUCGGGUUGUAAACCCCGUUUCAGCAGGGACGAAGCGAAAGUGACGGUACCUGCAGAAGAAGCGACGGCUAACUACGUGCCAGCAGCCGC
rnacentral:rRNA from 1 species